rnacentral:lncRNA from 1 species
CAAGUCAUGACAACCCAGGCACCAGGCAGGGCAAUGAAAGAGCUUCCAGAUGCUUCCAGCCCCCAGCUACCAAGUCAUUGCCAGCUUGAGUCUUACUGAGCUGAGGUCUCAGACACCAGGGAAUAAAGACAAACCCUCCCUCCUGUGCCCUGUUGAAAUUCCAGAUCCACAGAACCCUUGAGCACAAUAAAUGCAUGUUGUUUGUGAUGGUUAAUUUUAUGUCUAGACCACAAGAUGCCUGAAUAGAUAAACCUUAUUCUGGGUAUGUCUGUAAAGGUGUUUGGAUGAGAUUAACACUGGAAUCAUAGACUGAGUAAAGCAGAUUGCUUUCCCCAGUGUUCCUUCCCCAGUCCAUUGCAGGCCAGAACAAAAGGCCUGGAAAGGUAGAACUUGCUCCCUCUGCCUGACUACUUGAGCUGGGACAUCAGUCUUCUCCUGCCCUCAAAUUGGGGCUUACACCAUCAAGUGCCCCUGGUUCUCAGGCCAUUCGACUCAGCCUGGAACUGUACCACCAGCUUUCCCGGGUCUCCGGCUUGCAGAUGGCAGACUAUGGGACUUCUCAUCUUCCACAAUCCAUGAGCCAAUUCCUCAUAAUAAAUUCCCUAUAAUAAAGGUCUUAUAAUGUAUGUAUUUAUACACUAUUGGCUUUGUUUCUGAAGGUUCCAAAUACAUUGUUCAAGUCAGUAAUUUCAGAGGUGGGCGGAGGGCUAAUUACCCAGCAAUAGUUAUACUGUAAUAUUUCUAGUCAGAAAUAUUUUCUUAUAUUAUUAUAAUUCUUAGUCUUUUUUCUGUGCCUUUAAAAAUAUUUCUCUUACUAAAGUGAGUCACUAACUUCUUAGAUCAAAAGGAAAUGAUAAUUUCUCUGAUUCUGAGAUUUACUUUAAAAAAUAUAAAAAACAGGUCAGCCUCACUUCUAAAUAUUUGCAUUAUAUGAACAUAAUGAAUAUACUGAGUCCAGCCAUAGGUAACACAGGGACAUUCACAAGUCCCAGGUGGAGGACAGUAUGAACUGAAGCUUUCUGACAACGUGGCUGCUUAGACCUUUUACUAUUCCUUCCUAGUUAAAAGUCAGAGAAAUCAGGUAACCAUUGAAGUCUUAAAGAUGCAGACAACAGCUGGGCACAGUGGCUCACGCCUGUAAUCCCAGCACUUUGGGAGACUAAGGUGGAAGGAUUACUUGAGUCCAGGAUUUCAAGAGCAGACCCAGGGCAACAAAGCCAGACUGUCUCAAAAAAAAAAAAAAAAAAAGACAUAGAAAACAUGUGAAGCUCUUGGUGAUGCUAAUGAUGAAUACGAUGCACUACACAGCUCUGGUUUUGAGGAAGAGGAAGUGUUUGGUUCUUCUCGGCAUUGGCUCUCAACCAUGUAAAUAGUUUGGCCAAUAUUACAGACCCUGGAGCCAAAUCAGUUUCAUGUGGUCAUCAAUCAUGACAUUUCUUCUGAAACAUGAGGUAAAGCAUGUGAUGCAAGAAAUCCACUUUCCGGGAAAUGACGGAGACCUUAAGAGGAGCAGCUCAAGGAGGUUCUUGCAGGCCAAACCACAGCCCGUGGCCACAGAACUGACCAGACCACAUGGAGGCACAGGAACCACCCCAUAAA